rnacentral:rRNA from 1 species
CGGAUUGUAGUCUGCAACUCGACUACAUGAAGCUGGAAUCGCUGUAAUCGCGAAUCAGCAUGUCGCGGUGAAUACGUUCCCGGGUCUUGUACACACCGCCCGUCACACCAUGGGAGUCGGGAAUGCCCGAAGCCGGUGACCCAACCUUUCGGAGGGAGCCGUCGAAGGCAGAUUCGAUAACUGGGGUGAAGUCGUAACAAGGUAUC